rnacentral:lncRNA from 1 species
AACUUUUGAUUUUAUUUUUGAAAGGUUAAUUUUAAUAGAUUUUAAUUUUAUUAACAUUUAACAAAUAAACAAUUAACCAAAGAAAAUAAAAUAAAACAAUAUUAAAUAUAUAAUAAAAAAGGAGAGGUGCACUAUCAAUACAAUGGUAUAAAAAUAAGAAGUAAGUAAUGGGCUUUGAGUCUAGAUAAUAAAAGCAUCUAAAAAGAGAAAAAAAAACAAAGGGGUGUAGGUUAGAAAGGGAG